UCUUUCUGAAAAUUCUGAAAAAUGCUGAACAUUGCUUGAACUGGUUUUUUUUUUUGGUUUUUGGUUCUCUAAAUAUUUUGUUAGUUUAAAACUUCUGAAAAAUUCCAAAAUUUGUGCAUCUGGGUGGAAAAAUGGCUCGAGUUGCGUUUAGCAGUUUGAUUUGAGUUGCUUGGAGUUGAUUUUUUUAAAGUCUGGGUUUGUUUCAGCUGUGUUAACACUGUUACAUUGUUGCUGCUGAUCCCUUAUUUUUCUUACUUUUUGCUUUUCGGGUAUCUUUUGGAACCAUAGACAACAUGUGAAAUGUGAAUCUGCACUUUGAAUGUGAAACACUUUGGAUACAAGUUGUAUCUCAAGAUAUUUUUUUUUUUUUUGUAACUGUCAACUUAUAUUGAUAUUCGAAAAGUAUACAAUGUAAUCCUAUGGUAGUAGUAUGGA
rnacentral:lncRNA from 1 species